rnacentral:rRNA from 1 species
UACGUAGGGUGCGAGCGUUGUCCGGAAUUAUUGGGCGUAAAGAGCUCGUAGGCGGUGUGUCACGUCGGCCGUGAAAACCUGCAGCUUAACUGUGGGCGUGCGGUCGAUACGGGCAUCACUGGAGUUCGGCAGGGGAGACUGGAAUUCCUGGUGUAGCGGUGAAAUGCGCAGAUAUCAGGAGGAACACCUGUGGCGAAGGCGGGUCUCUGGGCCGAUACUGACGCUGAGGAGCGAAAGCGUGGGGAGCAAACAGG